AAAUGUUUGUUAAGAUUUUGUAAGACAGAGUUUGUGUGAUGUUAGAAGCUAAAGGUUCACCUCGGUGGUUAACCGCAGACUGUAAAUCUGGUUAUCUGACGUUAUGAUGAAUGUUAUACUCCACGUAAAUGUCGACAUUAAAAAACUAAACUUUGUGUAGUAAUUAUCCGUCAGUAACAUAAACUGAACUCAAUUGAACCUAAUAUGCUGUGUAGGUUAUAGAGGAUGACAUUAACGUUACAUGGUUGAUGUAGUGUCUUAAGAUUUGUGCAAACUGUUACCAAAUUAAAAAAAAAAAAUUCACUUUGUAUGAGUUCAGGGAAAUUUAAUCUGGUUAUUGAUAUAGUUCUUCAUCGUUACAGAUGCUCGUACAAAGAAUAUAGCAGUAGAAAUAUAAAAUAUAAAUAACAUAUGGAAUGAAAAUAAGAUAUAAAGCAAUAAGUACAAGAAAUAGUUUGAAGAAUACAGCCAUGUACCUAGCUCAUGUUAAUAAUAAAUGAGCUACUGUAUGUUCUGUACUAAAGCACAGAGAGUUGGGACCUGUUAAUGAUUUAAAUAAUUCAGGUUAUAUUUGUUUCAUGGUAAGAUGAAGUACUAUCCACAAUAAACUGCUUAAUUUUUCCUCACAAAAUCUGAGGCAAUUUGAUGUGGAAUAUCAUUGUGCAAGUGAGUGAGAGAGCUGAAAACAGCAUGAUUACAAUAAGGUUUAUCUUAUUAACUUUGAAUAGAUGUUGAUUACCUGAAUACUGUACCUUUGUUGUCUGGGUAGUACACUGUUGAAUUUAUAAAUGUACUCUUACACACAGAUGAAUACAGAAAAUGCACAAACAAAUUGAUUUAAUGAAUAAGUGAUAUUUUCUCUCUUUCUUUGCCAUCCUGAAGACCCCGCACUAAAAGUCCAUGUUCUCCUGGAUCCAUGUCACAUGCUCGAGCUUCUUCAGAAUGACUUUUCAACAGUCGAAGUUCUGUUAUUGAUCUUAUUUACUCUCGAUGUAUCUUGAUUUAAGAAUGGGGCUGUGUUUAAGGGCAUAUUUUGCAAUGACUCUGUUCCAUCCCAUUUUCAGAAAUGAACUACAUUAGUAUUUGGUUAAAAAAAAUAAUAAAAAGUUGUGUAAAAGUAGACUUCCUUCCCUAAGCUAUUGAGUUGAGCAUUAAUGCACAUUUUAGUCUUGUCAUUUCAAAUCUGAAAUGUAUACUCAUAAGUAGACAU